CACCUGAGAAUGUUUCAAGGUCACCAAAAGCUUUCUGAAAAUGCCUUUCUGCAAAGAAGGUUUCCAGUACUUUCAGGGAGAGUGUUAAUUGGAUUGGAAGGAAGACACUGAUGAGCUGCUGGGAGUGAGAGUGAGACCCUCGAGGAGUCCACAGUGCAUUUUAAGGAGUGUAGCUCUGAUGAACUGCAAGGCCUUUGUUUUGCUGUGUGGGGGCCCUGCCUCUUCUCUAAAGAGAAGUUGAAGACUUAUUUAAAGAACAUCCUUUCGAAGGAGAACCAACAAUCACUAGCUUGUCCAGAGCAUGCUCAUGUCUUCAUCCAGCCCUGGAGGUAGGUACAAGUAACUCCAAGAUACUCACUAAGACACUGAACUCAGGAAGGGUCCAUAACCCAGCUACAGGAGAUGGGGCCCCGGAGUGGAAUUUGGGUCUGUCUGAUUCCAAACCCUUCCACAUCAGUGAUGGUGUCCCUGUUUCUGCCAAUAGAAUGGGAGUAUAGGGCAUGUCUACAAUGACUGUCCAGAGGGUAAGAACAAAAUAGUUAUAAAUCAGUUUUUUAAUGUAAAAAUAGAGAAAUGUGUGAGGAAUUAAAAAACAGAGAUCCUUAAAACAUCAGGAAUAGCUUUACUGUCCUAUAGAUUAUCUUGUGAUCUGAAAGGGAUUUGAUUGCUGGUCAAGAACUACAGGAGUAAAGGAAACUCUGUUGAUAAUUAGUUAUUAUAGUAUUAAGAGGAAGAAAACAGGCUUUUGCUUGGAUUGGAUGGGAAAGGCAAAGAACCAAAGAAUAUUUAUUCAUUUCCCUCUCUUUAAAAGAACACAAUAUAUGUCAGUCCCAAAAGAGCAUAUGUUGUAUGAUCCUAUUUAUGUGAAACUUCCAGAAAAAGCGAAUCUAUAGAGAUGGAAAAUAGAUUAGGGAUUGCCUAAGGCUGGGAGGUGGGAAUAAGGGAUGACUGCAGAUGGGCCUGAGAAAUCUUCUAGAAAUGAUCUAAAAUUGAACUGUGGUGAUGGAUACACAACUCUAUAAAUUUAAUAACAAUCAUCAAAUGGUAUAGUUAAAAUGAGUGAAUUUUACAGUAUGCAAAUUAUCUCAAUAAAAAUGUUAAGUAAAUAAAAUAUUAA
rnacentral:lncRNA from 1 species